rnacentral:tRNA from 2 species
CUGACGGCGGGGGAGUCCGCCUUCGUCCCGGCGGCCGGCGGCGCCGCCACGGUGACCACCUCGGGCACCGUGUUCUGCGCGGAACCGGGAACCGCCGGCCC